rnacentral:miRNA from 1 species
AGCGCCAUUUCCAGAGUUAUCA